GCCUGGGUAGCUCAGUUGGUUAAGUGACUAACUCUUGGUUUCAGCUCAGGUCCUGAUCUCACGGUCUGUGGGUUCGAGCCCCGCCUCGGGCU
rfam:Felis catus isolate Cinnamon breed Abyssinian chromosome A2, whole genome shotgun sequence.